ensembl:lncRNA
GCCCAGCCCAGCUCUUGUGCUUUUAUUUGUCAACACUUAUUUUUGUUUCCUGACACAAAGUGGAAACAUUUGGUCAGUGUUUUGGCUCGUGUCCCUGCUGUUUUCCCUGUCUCCUGCAGUGUCACAUGGAAGGACAUUCCAGGCUUUAUUUUUUGUCAUUCCUGACAGGCAUGAAGCUGUAAAAUAUUUGGGUGGCUGCUAACAGUGUUUUAAUCCCAGGAGAUGUUUUUUUCCCUGGCUCCAGGGCUGCCCUUUGGGUGAGGGAAUGUUCUCAAAACCUUCUGCAGAGCUGCUAAGAGCCAGGGCAGGCUGGAUCCAGGUGCUGUGAAUCCCUGUGCUUGUUCCUACUCCCAAGCUGCUCUUCCAUGCCUCUUUUCAGGUAGUUGAAGCUGAAAGAAUUGGUUUUGAACAGAGGCUUGGAGCCUGCCUGCUCGAGGGAACUUCACUGCACCCUUGAAGAAUUACCUAAUGUGGUGAGAUUCACUUGUCUGGUUACCUAAGUGCUUUGUUCCUGCUUUUCCAGAGAGGAAUUGCUGACUCCCAUCAAUGUGUGCUCUGAAAUUGUGUUUCCUGGAAUCUGCAUCCCUUCCCAAAUGCCAGAAGUCCAUUAGAGUAGAGCAAAAGACAUUAAAAAAGCCCCUUAGUUUAAUACUUUCACCUGCAGGGUUGAUAAAAAUUCCAUCCUUGCCCCAGAACUUCCUCUGUGACAUCUGCACAAUUCCAUUCCUCCCACAAACCAGCCACAAGGAUCCUUCCUGCUCUGGUUCCUGCUUAAAGCCCCUCAGGGCAGCUGCUGCCUGAAUAUUUACUCCAGCCAGCCCCUGGGGGUCAGGAAGGAACAGGAAGAUUUUUGGGGCAGUAAAACACCGGAUUUGUCUCCUCACACCUGGAGGUGUUGCAGCUUUUUGACCCCUUUGCUGCCCUCAAGAUAAGAAUCGGAGAUGCUCAACAAGUGCCUGCUGAGAUAUUGUCCCAGAAGUAUUCAGUGCACCUCAGCAAGCUGCAAAUGCAGGCUCGUGGGGGAAGAGCGAUACAAAGCAAACAGGGAAGUGCAGACAGAAAAUGCAUUAGAAAUGUUUGGAAAAGGCACUCCAAGGUCUCCCCAGGCUGGUCAGAGAGGAAAGUUUUCCAGGAUUGCAGCAGGCUGCUGUUAUUCCCUGGGCUGCUUUUUUGGAGUUUGUACCCAGCCCUACAUCGAUUGUGGAGAGGUGGCCCAGCUCUUUCAGCGAGUCCCAGACUCUGGGGUGCUGUUUCUGCAGCCUGCUGUGUGCUCAGACUGCUCUGCUGGAUUGCUGAGCCCUGGAUUCCUGACAGGCACACGGAAAAGGGAAAUUAACAGUGGAUAAAGUGAAUUAAAGGGAUCUUUGCCAUCCUGUCAGUGGAGAGAGGAGCAGACCUGGAGAGUUUUUUAUCUGGAAGAGAGCACGUGGUGGAAAUAAGUGAUGCUGGAGCCUUGCAGGCCCUGUGUCACAGCAAGCAAAUUGACCUUGUGCUUAAAUGGUUAUUGUGGGCAUUCCGAGGGGGAUAUUGGCUGCAAAUGUGUUACUGGCAUAAUUAAAAUGUAGUCCCUGCCUGGGUUUUUAUUCCUGGGAAUGGUGCAGAUCAGCACGGGAGUGGCAGGAGUGGGAGGAAGCUGCAGCUCCUCCUUGCCUCAGUCUUUACCACUACGAUUAAUUUUCAUUACAGAGGAAAUGAAAUUCAGCCCAGGAGACCCUCUUUGAUUCCCAGGGAGGAAAAGUGUCUUGCUUUUAUGGCAGGAAACUGCACUUUAAACUGCUUUUAGAUCCCCUUGCAGGCUGGUUUACACUUCAAGCCCCAGUUUGUCAGCUGGCAGGUACCUGCUGCUUCCCCUGGGCACCCUUCUCUGUCUGCCUUUGGUUUCCUCCUCUCCGUGCUCCAGGGCACCAGGCAGCUUCUAAUUAAUCAGGGUCAGGAAGAAAAUUUCCCUGGGGAAAAGUUGUUUUCUCUCCACCUGCUUGCAAAGCUUUCUGAGCCUGCCAGCAGAGCUGCUGGGCAGAGAGGGUAGAUGAUGGUAAAUGCCUAAACCAGCCUGAAAAUGUCAGGGCUUGAGCUCUUCCCAACAUCCCCUGGACUUUUGUGGCUUUCCCUGCUGCUUCUGAGCUAACUAGAGAUGUGUUGGAGUCAGCUCUGGUCACUGGGAAAUAUUGGCUGGAAGGGGAAUAAGUUGCCAGUGGAGAUUUGGAGGAGUUUCUGUGGAAGGUUUGGGGAACUCCAUCCUGCUGGUGAACAUGGAAUUCCCAGUAACAGUGCUCCAGGUGCAGGCAGAGUGGGGAACUUGGGGAUGAUGGGUCUGGUUUUAGUUUAGUGACCACCAGGGCAGGCUGAGAGAAAGAACAG